rnacentral:rRNA from 1 species
GGCGAACGGGUGAGGUAACACGUGAGUAAUCCACCCUCGGUACCGGAAUAGCCCGGGGAAACCCGGAUUAAUGCCGGAUGGCCCGACAGCUCUUCGGAGCGGUCGGAAAAGAUAGCUUCGGCCUUCGACCGAGGACGAGCUCGCGGCGGAUUAGCUUGUUGGUGGGGUAACGGCCCACCAAGGCGACGAUCCGUAGCUGGUCUGAGAGGACGAUCAGCCACACUGGGACUGAGACACGGUCCAAAUUCAUACGGGAGGCAGCAGUGGGGAAUCUUGCGCAAUGGGCGAAAGCCUGACGCAGCGACGCCGCGUGCGGGAAGAAGGCCUUCGGGUUGUAAACCGCUUUCAGGAGGGACGAAGCCACUCGGGUUAAUAGCCCAGAGGGUGACGGUACCUCCAGAAGAAGCCCCGGCUAACUACGUGCCAGCAGCCGCGG